AACGAACGCUGGCGGCGCGCCUAAUACAUGCAAGUCGAGCGAGAAGACGUAGCAAUACGUUUGUAAAGCGGCGAACGGGUGAGGAAUACAUGGGUAACCUACCCUCGAGUGGGGAAUAACUAGCCGAAAGGUUAGCUAAUACCGCGUACGCUCCUUGGACUUCGGUUCAGGGAGGAAAGCGAUACCGUGGGUAUCGCGCUCUUGGAUGGGCUCAUGUCCUAUCAGCUUGUUGGNGAGGUAACGGCUCACCAAGGCUUCGACGGGUAGCUGGUCUGAGAGGACGAUCAGCCACACUGGCACUGCGACACGGGACCAGACUCCUACGGGGAGGCAGCAGUAAGGAAUAUUGCGCAAUGGGCGAAAGCCUGACGCAGCGACGCCGCGUGGGGGA
rnacentral:rRNA from 1 species